UGGCAUUAAUAAAGAUUUCUUAUGUUCUUUUUAGAUAUGAUUAUGGAACUAGCUGAACACGCUCAGUUCAUUACAACAACGUUUAGGCCUGAAUUGCUGGAAUCAGCUGACAAGUUCUACGGUGUAAAAUUCAGAAAUAAGGUUAGUCAUAUUGAUGUGAUCACAGCAGAAAUGGCCAAAGACUUUGUAGAAGAUGACACCACGCAUGGCUAAACAAAAUUGUAUUUACCGCUUGUUUGGAAGAUGUGUAUAGUGUGAUGUUUAUGCCAGGGAAUUGUAAAUUAAAAAUAGGAAGCUUUUAGUCCUUGUUUAAAAUAGUUUUUGAACAUACAUUUUAACCAAGUCCCCAGAAGACUUAGUUUCAAAGAAGCUUGAUUAUCCGUAUGGUUUCUGUUGCUGUAUUUUAUAAGAUGAUUGUUAAUGUUACCUUUAUACAGUACCUGUAGUUUACAGAAGUUUAUUCUCUUCCGUCGGAUCUUUUGUAAAGCGUCUGUUGCUGUUUUAAAGCUUUUAAGAAAGUGCUAGCUCUUCCUUCCUUCCUUCCUAAGUAUACUUUUACCAUUUAUAUUGCCUCACAAUUUUUUUUAACGGCUUCAAUUAAAAUGAUUGGUUUUAUCGCUGUCA